ensembl:lncRNA
CUGGCUCCAGACUUACUAUUGGAGAUGAGCUUCAGAGAGGAAUCCGGACACCUGGGCAUUAGUCUCCGCUGUCACCACGAGCUGUGUGACCUUGGACAAGUCACUUCAAGUCUCUGGAGUUGGUUUUCUUACUGGAGGCUACUUCUGUAUUCUCAAAGCCACCUAUGGCUUUGCAAUUUACUAGCUCUUUUUAGUUCCACUUAGCCUUUCCCGCGACACUCCACACCCGAGCGAGACCCGUCUUUUGUUCUGGGGGUGAAGGGGAGAAGGAGAGCUUCGCAAGGACCAGGCUGAGGAGGCCUUGGUACCAGCAGCUGUUCACUGGAGACUCGGGUCCCGGGAUGUCACCGGGCAACCCCACCGUGACCUUGUUCCCUCCCUGGCCCUUUUCUGGCCCGGCCUGAGUGAAGCGUCUGGGAGACGGUGGCGGGCACUGGGGCGGCGCAGAGCAGCGCCUGGAUAGCGGCCCGGACCUGGGGUGGCAGUCUGGCGGGGGUCCCUUUGGCACAGGCGUGCGCACAGCAACCUGCCUCUACCCGAGGCCACUCUGCCUCUGGAUUGGCCUGAGAGGACGCCACGGAUCACCCUUUCCCCCUCGGACACCGAUCGCGACACGCGCGCAGAGCCGCUACCUGCAGAUGGCCGUGCCCUGGACGGGUCUGGACUCGAGCAUCACACUGUGCUCCACUGUCCCCAAGGACUGGUACCACUGGAUUCUCCUGUGCUCUCCUGACUCUGCCUUUACUGGAGCCAUUCCUCGGGAUGAUCAGGCAUCAACUGUUCUUGAAAGUCCUGGCAUUCUGCGCAGUAAGAUGAUAUCAAGUGUGGCAUGUCACGUGGUGCUCAAAGAUUACUUAACAACAACAGAGAAUGUUAGAAAGG